CCUACGGGAGGCAGCAGUGGGGAAUAUUGCGCAAUGGGCGAAAGCCUGACGCAGCGACGCCGCGUGAGGGAUGAAGGUCUUCGGAGCGUAAACCUCUGUCAGCAGGGAAGAACGGUCACGGUGCUAAUCAGCAGUGAAUUGACGGUACCUGCAAAGGAAGCACCGGCUAACUCCGUGCCAGCAGCCGCGGUAAUACGGAGGGUGCGAGCGUUAAGCGGAAUUACUGGGCGGAAAGCGCUCGUAGGCGGUAUGUCAAGUCAAGGGUGAAAUCCCCGCGCUCCACGUGGGAACUGCCUUUGAAACUGGCAACCUGGCGUGUGUGCGCGGCUAGUGGAAUUCCCGGUGUAGGCGU
rnacentral:rRNA from 1 species